rnacentral:rRNA from 1 species
AUUGAACGCUGGCGGCAUGCCUUACACAUGCAAGUCGAACGGCAGCAUGAUCUAGCUUGCUCGAUUGAUGGCGAGUGGCGAACGGGUGAGUAAUACAUCGGAACGUGCCCUGUAGUGGGGGAUAACUAGUCGAAAGAUUAGCUAAUACCGCAUACGACCUGAGGGUGAAAGUGGGGGACCGCAAGGCCUCAUGCUAUAGGAGCGGCCGAUGUCUGAUUAGCUAGUUGGUGAGGUAAAGGCUCACCAAGGCGACGAUCAGUAGCUGGUCUGAGAGGACGAUCAGCCACACUGGGACUGAGACACGGCCCAGACUCCUACGGGAGGCAGCAGUGGGGAAUUUUGGACAAUGGGCGAAAGCCUGAUCCAGCAAUGCCGCGUGUGUGAAGAAGGCCUUCGGGUUGUAAAGCACUUUUGUCCGGAAAGAAAUGGCUCUGGUUAAUACCUGGGGUCGAUGACGGUACCGGAAGAAUAGGGACCGGCUAACUACGUG